UACGGAGGGUGCAAACGUUGCUCGGAAUCAUUGGGCGUAAAGCGCGCGUAGGCGGCUGAACAAGUUGGAUGUGAAAGCCCUGGGCUCAACCUAGGAUGUGCAUUCAAAAACUGUUCGGCUUGAAUCUCGGAGGGGGGUCAGAGAAUUCCCGGUGUAGAGGUGAAAUUCGUAGAUAUCGGGAGGAACACCAGUGGCGAAGGCGCUGACCUGGACGAUGAUUGACGCUGAGGCGCGAAAAGCGUGGGGAGCAAACAGG
rnacentral:rRNA from 1 species